UAAGAUUUAGUUAAUAUAAUAAUUUUGGUAUGUCAAUUCAAGGUAGUGGAUAUUCCACAAUCUUAA
rnacentral:tRNA from 1 species